UCCUACGGGGGGCAGCAGUGGGGGAUAUUGCACAAUGGGGGGAACCCUGAUGCAGCGACGCCGCGUGGGUGAAGAAGCGCCUCGGCGCGUAAAGCCCUGUCCGCAGGGAAGAAAAUGACGGUACCUGAAGAAGAAGCCCCGGCUAACUACGUGCCAGCAGCCGCGGUAAUACGUAGGGAGCAAGCGUUGUCCGGAAUUACUGGGUGUAAAGGGAGCGUAGGCGGGAUAGUAAGUUGAUUGUUAAAACUAUCGGCUCAACUGGUAGAUGCGAUCAAAACUGCAAUUCUUGAGUGAAGUAGAGGCAG
rnacentral:rRNA from 1 species